AAAAGCUCAAAUUUGAAAUCUGGCACUUUCAGUGUCCGAGUUGUAAUUUGAAGAAGGUAUCUUUGGGUCUGGCUCUUGUCUAUGUUUCUUGGAACAGAACGUCACAGAGGGUGAGAAUCCCGUGCGAUGAGAUGACCCAGACCUAUGUAAAGUUCCUUCGAAGAGUCGAGUUGUUUGGGAAUGCAGCUCUAAGUGGGUGGUAAAUUCCAUCUAAAGCUAAAUAUUGGCGAGAGACCGAUAGCGAACAAGUACAGUGAUGGAAAGAUGAAAAGAACUUUGAAAAGAGAGUGAAAAAGUACGUGAAAUUGUUGAAAGGGAAGGGCUUGAGAUCAGACUUGGUAUUUUGUAUGUUACUCUUUCGGGGGUGGCCUCUACAGUUUACCGGGCCAGCAUCAGUUUGGGCGGUAGGAGAAUUGCAAAGAAAUGUGGCACUGCCUCGGUAGUGUGUUAUAGUCUUUGUCGAUACUGCCAGCCUAGACUGAGGACUGCGGCUUCGGCCUAGGAUGUUGGCAUAAUGAUCUUAAGUCGCC
rnacentral:rRNA from 1 species